rnacentral:tRNA from 1 species
GCCUGGGUGGCUCAGUGGUUGAGCGUCUGCCUUUGGCUCAGAGAGUGAUACCGGAGUCCUGGGAUCGAGUCCCACAUCGGGCU